rnacentral:sRNA from 1 species
CAGGGAAAGGCCAUGAUGUUGGACCUCUGGGAAGAGGAUAUUGCUGUGCUAAAGGUUUGGGAUGGGGGCCUGAGCCUUUUGAUUUAUGUAGCCGAAGCCCGAAAGGUGGGUAGUGAGCCUAAAACAGAAGGGGGCGGGGACAAAGAGGGAGAUGGCAAGAUCAGUAAUAGUAUCUCUGGGGCAGGUCGCUACUAAACUGGAGAACAAAACUUCGGCGAUAUGUGGCCAAGAAGCUGAAAGAACAAGCAAAGGCACUGGACAUCAGCCUCAGCUCUGGAGAGGAAGAUGAAGGUGAUGAGGAGGACUCAACAGCUGGAACCACAAAGCAGCCCUCUAAGGAGGAGGAGGAAGAGGAGGAGGAGGAACAACUGAACCAGACCUUGGCAGAAAUGAAGGCCCAGGAGGUGGCGGAAUUGAAGAG